rnacentral:rRNA from 3 species
AGUCAUAUGCUUGUCUCAAAGAUUAAGCCAUGCAUGUCUCAGUACAAGCCAUAUUAAGGUGAAACCGCGAAAGGCUCAUUAAAUCAGUUAUGGUUCCUUAGAUCGUACCCACAUUUACUUGGAUAACUGUGGUAAUUCUAGAGCUAAUACAUGCAAAUAGAGUUCCGACCGGAGACGGAAGGAGCGCUUUUAUUAGAUCAAAACCAAUCGGCGACAGUUCGCUGUUGUCGUACUUUUUGGUGACUCUGAAUAACUUAUUGCUGAUCGCACGGUCUCGCACCGGCGACGCAUCUUUCAAAUGUCUGCCUUAUCAACUGUCGAUGGUAGGUUCUGCGCCUACCAUGGUUGUAACGGGUAACGGGGAAUCAGGGUUCGAUUCCGGAGAGGGAGCCUGAGAAACGGCUACCACAUCCAAGGAAGGCAGCAGGCGCGCAAAUUACCCACUCCCGGCACGGGGAGGUAGUGACGAAAAAUAACGAUACGGGACUCAUCCGAGGCCCCGUAAUCGGAAUGAGUACACUCUAAACCCUUUAACAAGGAUCAAUUGGAGGGCAAGUCUGGUGCCAGCAGCCGCGGUAAUUCCAGCUCCAAUAGCGUAU